rnacentral:rRNA from 1 species
UUCCUACGGGAGGCAGCAGUGAGGAAUAUUGGUCAAUGGGCUUACGCCUGAACCAGCCAAGUCGCGUGAGGGAAGACUGCCCUAUGGGUUGUAAACUUCUUUUGUCAGGGAGCAAUUGGGUCCACGCGUGGGCUUAGCGAGAGUACCUGAAGAAAAAGCAUCGGCUAACUCCGUGCCAGCAGCCGCGGUAAUACGGAGGAUGCGAGCGUUAUCCGGAUUUAUUGGGUUUAAAGGGUGCGUAGGCGGAAUAUCAAGUCAGCGGUAAAAAUUCGGGGCUCAACCCCGUCGUGCCGUUGAAACUGAUG